AUUGAACGCUGGCGGCAUGCCUUACACAUGCAAGUCGAACGGCAGCACGGGAGCAAUCCUGGUGGCGAGUGGCGAACGGGUGAGUAAUAUAUCGGAACGUGCCCAGUCGUGGGGGAUAACGUAGCGAAAGCUACGCUAAUACCGCAUACGAUCUAUGGAUGAGAGCGGGGGAUCGCAAGACCUCGCGCGAUUGGAGCGGCCGAUAUCAGAUUAGGUAGUUGGUGAGGUAAAGGCUCACCAAGCCGACGAUCUGUAGCUGGUCUGGGAGGACGACCAGCCACACUGGGACUGGGACACGGCCCAGACUCCUACGGGAGGCAGCAGUGGGGAAUUUUGGACAAUGGGCGCAAGCCUGAUCCAGCAAUGCCGCGUGCAGGAUGAAGGCCUUCGGGUUGUAAACUGCUUUUGUACGGAACGAAACGGUGAGCUCUAAUACAGUUUGCUAAUGACGGUACCGUAAGAAUAAGCACCGGCUAACUACGUGCCAGCCGCCGCGGUAACAC
rnacentral:rRNA from 1 species